UACGUAGGGUGCGAGCGUUAAUCGGAAUUACUGGGCGUAAAGGGUGCGCAGGCGGUUCUGUAAGUCAGAUGUGAAAUCCCCGGGCUUAACCUGGGAACUGCGUUUGAAACUACGGAGCUGGAGUGUGGCAGAGGGAGGUAGAAUUCCACGUGUAGCGGUGAAAUGCGUAGAUAUGUGGAGGAAUACCGAUGGCGAAGGCAGCCUCCUGGGCCAACACUGACGCUCAUGCACGAAAGCGUGGGGAGCAAACAGGAUUAGAUACCCCAGUAGU
rnacentral:rRNA from 1 species